rnacentral:rRNA from 1 species
GAUGAACGCUAGCGACAGGCCUAACACAUGCAAGUCGAGGGGCAGCAUAAUUGUAGCAAUACAAUUGAUGGCGACCGGCGCACGGGUGAGUAACACGUAUGCAACCUGCCUUCUACACUGGGAUAGCCCGUCGAAAGACGGAUUAAUACCGGCUAAUCCAGUUUUAUCAAAAGAUUUGAUUGUUAAAGAAUUUCGGUAGAAGAUGGGCAUGCGCUCCAUUAGCUGGUUGGUAAGGUAAUGGCUUAACAAGGCAACGAUGGAUAGGGGAACUGAGGGGUUUAUCCCCCACACUGGUACUGAGACAAGGACCAGACUCCUACGGGAGGCAGCAGUGAGGAAUAUUGGUCAAUGGACGCAAGUCUGAACCAGCCAAGUCGCGUGAAGGAUGACUGCCCUAUGGGUUGUAAACUUCUUUUGCAGGGGAGUAAAAAAGGGAACGUGUUCUCUAUUGCAAGUAUCCUGCGAAUAAGCAUCGGCUAACUCCGUGCCAGCCGCCGCGGUAA